AGUUACAAGGCUGUAUGAAGAAAAGCAUGUGUCUUGAAAACACAAGAAAGGAGUUAAACUCUCCUAGUAACUU
rnacentral:tRNA from 1 species